CCUGAUGCAGCGACGCCGCGUGAGGGAUGACGGCCUUCGGGUUGUAAACCUCUUUCAAUAGGGACGAAGCGCAAGUGACGGUACCUAUAGAAGAAGGACCGGCCAACUACGUGCCAGCAGCCGCGGUAAUACGUAGGGUCCGAGCGUUGUCCGGAAUUACUGGGCGUAAAGAGCUCGUAGGUGGUUUGUCGCGUUGUUCGUGAAAACUCACAGCUCAACUGUGGGCGUGCGGGCGAUACGGGCAGACUAGAGUACUGCAGGGGAGACUGGAAUUCCUGGUGUAGCGGUGGAAUGCGCAGAUAUCAGGAGGAACACCGGUGGCGAAGGCGGGUCUCUGGGCAGUAACUGACGCUGAGGAGCGAAAGCGUGGGGAGCGAACAGGAUUAGAUACCCUGGUAGUCCACGCCGUAAACGGUGGGUACUAGGUGUGGGUUUCCUUCCUUGGGAUCCGUGCCGUAGCUAACGCAUUAAGUACCCCGCCUGGGGAGUACGGCCGCAAGGCUAAAACUCAAAGAAAUUGACGGGGGCCCGCACAAGCGGCGGAGCAUGUGGAUUAAUUCGAUGCAACGCGAAGAACCUUACCUGGGUUUGACAUGCACAGGACGCCGGCAGAGAUGUCGGUUCCCUUGUGGCCUGUG
rnacentral:rRNA from 1 species